rnacentral:lncRNA from 1 species
CUUAUAAUACGACAACGUAAGAGUACACCACCUCUUAAAGAAUAACAACGUAAGAGUACACCACCUCUUAUAGAACAACAACGUAAGAGUACACCACCUCUUAUAGAACAACAACGUAAGAGUACACCACCUCUCACAAAACACCUGAGCAUAAACACUCACCAAUAACAGCUUCAACUACGACUUCAACAUUUUAGACAACAUUAACAACUUAAGAUUCCAAUACUUUGGAAAGACAACUUACAACUUAGACCAACACCUGC